GGGCCCGCACAAGCGGAGGAACAUGUGGUUUAAUUCGAUGAUACGCGAGGAACCUUACCCGGGCUUGAAAUGCAGAGGAAUGCCGUGGAAACAUGGCCGUCAGCAAUGACCUCUGUGUAGGUGCUGCAUGGUUGUCGUCAGCUCGUGCCGUGAGGUGUCGGCUUAAGUGCCAUAACGAGCGCAACCCUCAUCGGUAGUUACCAUCAGGUUAUGCUGGGGACUCUACCGAGACUGCCGCCGUAAGGUGUGAGGAAGGUGGGGAUGACGUCAAAUCAGCACGGCCCUUACGUCCGGGGCGACACACGUGUUACAAUGGGGGGGACAAAGGGCCGCUACCUGGCGACAGGAUGCCAAUCUCUAAACCCCCUCUCAGUUCGGAUCGGAGUCUGCAACUCGACUCCGUGAAGCUGGAUUCGCUAGUAAUCGCGCAUCAGCCAUGGCGCGGUGAAUACGUUCCCGGGCCUUGUACACACCGCCCGUCAAGCCAUGAAAGCC
rnacentral:rRNA from 1 species